rnacentral:tRNA from 1 species
AGAGACUUGUUAUCAGAGCAAUCUGGUACAGUUAGAAAGACGACGAUACAACAAAGGCUGGCUUAAAGUGAAUUUCUGAUCGCUUUUGCUGUCAUUUUUUUUAAUAUAAUUGGUUACCCAACAAGUAGAGUCUCGUAGCUCAGCUGGUUAGAGCGCUACACUGAUAAUGUAGAGGUCGGCAGCUCGAGUCUGCCCGAGACUACUAUACUACUUUUACAUGGAGUCAUAUUUUUACUCACCAGUAGUUAUUCUAAGUAGACGUUGGAAAUUAGUUUUAUAAUGGAUGCCACUAUUUUGGUAUUCUACCAAUUACAAUACAAUAGAGAAUCUAGGGUUAGCAAUGCCCCUAAGGAGGGCAGGUUGUCCCUGUUUUCAGCAUGGGGGAUUAGCUCAGCUGGCUAGAGCGCUUGAUUUGCAUUCAAGAGGUCAUCGGUUCGACUCCGAUAUUCUCCACAAACAGGUUGAAUUUUUCAAUCUUUUAAAGUUCUUUGACAUAUUGAGAAUACAAGAGUUAACUAUUAUAUAAUUAUAUAAUAGAGUAGCGAGCAAAUAAUAGAGAAUAAAUUUUUAAAAGCAAUUUUAAAGAAAGAGUAACAAAGUUAC